CUCCAUGCAACCAUAGCAACUUCUUCCUGCUAUUGUGUCCCAGAUUAAUGUGAACACCUGGAAUCAAAAAUCUGAGGCUUGCGAGUAAGUUUGGAAAUGAUGCCUUUGGAACUUGGGGAGUUCGUUAUCACCUGCUCAGUG